rnacentral:piRNA from 1 species
GUUGCUCAAAGAGAGCUUGUUGGUUCCCCC